rnacentral:pre_miRNA from 1 species
UAUAAUUUUGACUAUUCUUCUUAUUUAAAAUAUCUGUAUGAUUAAUAUUUUUAUUGCUACUAGAUAAUAAAACAUGAAUAAUAUUUUACGUGUGCCUAAUUUUUUUUGAGUUUUUUAAUUAAUUUUUAAGUAAGACGGGUGGUCAAAUGCUAUACAC